rnacentral:sRNA from 1 species
UGAUCAUCGACGGCGGCGAGGCGGCGGGUUCCGCGUUCGGAGACGAGGAGGGCGAAGGGGAAUCCUCCCCCAAGCGGGGGAGGUGUCGCCGCAGGCGACGGAGGGGGAAGUCCUGCUGGCUCG